GUUUCCGUAGCUCAGCUGGAUAGAGCGACCGCCUCCUAAGCGGUAGGUCGGGUGUUCAAAUCACCUCGGGAACGC
rnacentral:tRNA from 1 species